ensembl:misc_RNA Metazoa_SRP Metazoan signal recognition particle RNA
GCCAGGCAUGGUGGCGCAUGCCUGUAGUCUCAGUUACUCGGGAGGCUGAGGCAGGAGGAUUGCUUGAGCCCAGGACUUUGAGGCUGCAGUGAGCCAAGAUUGCACCACUGCACUCCAGCCUGGGCAACAUAGUGAGAUCCUGUCUCUA